rnacentral:misc_RNA from 1 species
AAUCCAAUCAAGCCUGGCUUGGUAUUGGGCGUCGGGGAGUCUCCCGCGCCCCAAUUUCGCCGGCUGGCCGUCGCCCGUCUUAGCGUUGUGACAUACUUCUCGCUAGCGAUGGAGGCGGACCACGCCGUUAGAACUCUCUAAAUUUCGAUCGAAAUUUGAUUAA